rnacentral:ncRNA from 1 species
AGAGUAAAAAUGCGUUCGCAAUAUCGGUUUUCCGGUAUUACAGUGCUGACCGGACGGGGAGUUGUCGGUCGGACGAAAGGUUGCGUGGGAAUAAUCUCUGACCUGCGGUUCGCAUUUUGCAUCCCGCU